AUGAUACACUUUGCAGCAGAGGCAGCAGAGGAGGCGGGAGGAAGUCAUGGAGUAGUACCAGCAGAGGCAGAAGAGGAGGCGGGAAGAAGUCGAGGCCAAUCAAUUAGAAGCAGAGGCAGCAACAGAGGUGGGAGGCGGCACUCGUCCUGCGAGCAGGUGGGUGGCGGCGGCCAGAGGAAGCACGCUGAUGGAGGAAGCGCACCGGCGGGAGCUCGGGGCGCGACUUCUGUAUGCCAUCUUUUCAACGGGUGGCGUCACCUGUGCCACAUGGAGGAGAGGUGGAGGCCGGCGCCGGCAUAG
rnacentral:rRNA from 1 species